rnacentral:rRNA from 1 species
AAUUAAUAUUAUUGUUAUUUUUAUUAAAUUUUAUGUAAAUAUUAAAUUAAGUAAAUUGAAGUUUUUGUAAAAUAAAUAGAUAUAAUUUUAUUUACUAUAGUGUAUAGUACUGUAAAGGAAUUUGAAUUGAAUAUUAUAAAUGGUUUAAGGUAAUUUAAUUAAUUGUAUCUUGUGUAUUAGAGUAUAUCAAAAUGAAUUAUAAAUUUUUUUUCUUGAAUUUAAAAGAUUUAAUUAAAUAUAUUAGUUAUUGUAUUAUAAAUAUUAAUAAUUUUUAAUUGGUAAUGAAAUGUUAAUCGUUUUUAAGGAUAUCUAGUUUUUUAAUAAAUGAAUUUAAUUCAGAGGAUAUGAAUUAUUUAAUAUUUUGGUAUUGAAAUAUUUCUUGUUCUUAAUUUUAAAGGGGAAUAACUUUUUAAAAUAAAAUUAUAAUAAUUAUUUUAUGAGGAUUUUAUAAAUUUAGAAUUUGUUAUUGAUUAAAGGAUGUUAAAAUUUAAUUCUUGUUUUGUUUUAAUUUUUAAUUGUUAUUUAAUGUAUAUAUUAAAAUACUUAAUAAAAUUAAAUAUUUUUUGGAAGUAUGAUUUAAUUAGUAAAUUAUAAUGUUUAGUUAAUUUGUUAAUGAAAAUUUUAAUGUGAAGAAUUAGGCAAAUUAUUUACUUACCUGUUUAUUAAAAACAUGGUUUCUUGAUUAUUUAAGAAAUCUGGCCUGCCCACUGAAAGAUUUUAAAGGGCCGCAGUAUAUUGACUGUGCAAAGGUAGCAUAAUCAUUAGUCUUUUAAUUGAAGGCUGGUAUGAAUGGUUGGAUAAGGUAAAUUCUGUUUUAUAUUAAUUUAAUUGAAUUUAGAUUUUAAGUAAAAAGACUUAAAUUUAAUUAAGGGACGAGAAGACCCUAUAGAGUUUAAUAAAUGAAUUAAUUAAUUGAGUUAAUAAAUAAUUUUUAAUUAUUAUGAAAUUUAUUUGAUUGGGGUGAUUAAAAGAUAAAAAUAACUCUUUUUUAAUUUUAAUAUUGUUAUUAGUUAUAUGAUCCAUUUUUAAUGAUUAUAAGAUUUAAUUACCUUAGGGAUAACAGCAUAAUUUCUUUUAAGAGUUCAUAUUGAAAAAGAAGAUUGUGACCUCGAUGUUGGAUUAAGAUUAAUUUUAGGUGCAGAUGUUUAAAAAUUAGGUCUGUUCGACCUUUAAAAUCUUACAUGAUCUGAGUUUAAACCGGCGUGAGCCAGGUUGGUUUCUAUCUUUAAUUUUAUUAAGUAUUUUAGUACGAGAGGACCAGAUAUUUAAAAUAAUUUUUAUUUUUAAUGAAUAUUUUUAAUUA